AUGGUUCCUUAGAUCGUACCCACAAUUACUUGGAUAACUGUGGUAAUUCUAGAGCUAAUACAUGCAAACAGAGCUCCGACCGGAGACGGAAGGAGUGCUUUUAUUAGAUCAAAACUAAUCGGUGGCGGGUUCGCCCGUUAUCGUACAACUUGGUGACUCUGAAUAACUUUACGCUGAUCGCACGGUCAUCGCACCGGCGACGCAUCUUUCAAAUGUCUGCCUUAUCAACUGUCGAUGGUAGGUUCUGCGCCUACCAUGGUUGUAACGGGUAACGGGGAAUCAGGGUUCGAUUCCGGAGAGGGAGCCUGAGAAACGGCUACCACAUCCAAGGAAGGCAGCAGGCGCGCAAAUUACCCACUCCCGGCACGGGGAGGUAGUGACGAAAAAUAACGAUACGGGACUCAUCCGAGGCCCCGUAAUCGGAAUGAGUACACUCUAAACCCUUUAACGAGGAUCAAUUGGAGGGCAAGUCUGGUGCC
rnacentral:rRNA from 1 species